CUCUGGUUGGCCUGGCACGUCUCCUCCACGCUUGUUUCUAACGGAACCCCAGCUGGGCAGUGGCCUGUGUGCUUGUCUCACUCACGAGAUGGUGAGCUCCUUGAGUCACCCCUAUUGUGUGUCAGCGCCGGACACAUAGAACAGACACAACCAUUAUUUUCUUGAAGAACUUGAGGGCAGUCAGGUAUAUGCAGAUCCAAAGUUCACCUAAUCAUGCUUCCUAGUUUCCCUUUGUUUUGCAUCACUGGGUUUUUAAAAAUAAUUUUAUUGAGGUAUAAUUUAUUCACUCAUUCUAAGUGUGCAGUUCAAUAGUUUGUAGUAAAUGUGCAGAGUUGUGCCACCAUUGCCGCUGCCCCGCGUUACGAUAUUUUCCUCACUGCAUAAAGUUUCCUGGUGCCCAUAUGCAGUUUGUCCCCAUUCUCACCCUCAUCCUUGGGCAACCACUAUUUUGCUUUCUGUUUCUGUGGAUUUCCUUGUUCUAGAUGUUUCAUAUAAAUGGGAUCAUACAAUAUGUGGUCUUUUGUGUCUGGCUUCUUUCCUUGGAGUACUGUUUUUGAGAUUCAUUGAUGGCAUAGAAGGUAUUGGUAGUUUGUUCUUUUUAUUUUAUUGUUCCUGUGAAUAGUAUUCUGCUGUAAGCAUAUACCACAUUUUGUUUAUCCACUGUUUUUUUCACCAAUUGAUGAAUGUUUAAUUUGUUUCCAGUGUGGGGCUUUUAUGAACAGUACUGCUAUGAUGUACAAGUUUUUGUUCUCAUACAUUUUCAUUCCUCAGGUAGACUGUUAGGAGCAGAAUUGCUGGAUCAUACAUACGGUCCCCUGAGGGUGGAUACCCACUUCUCUUAGGAGAUUGGAAUGAUUGAUGUUUUGAUACAACAUAAAAGAAUCUCAAAAUAAUGAUGCUUAGUGAAAGAAGCUGGUCAAAAAAGGAGGACAUUGCCGUGUGCUAUGUCUUGGUCUGUUCAGGCUGCAGUAAAAAUUACCAAAGACUGACCGGCUUAUAGACAGCAGAAGUUUAUUUCUCACAAUUCUGGAGGAUGGGGAGUUCAAGAUGAAGGGACUGGCAGAUUCAGUGUCUAGUGAGGCCCCGCUUCCUGGUUCACAGACAGCCGUCUUUUUGCUGUAUGUCUUCACAUGACAGGGAUGGCAUGCGAGCUCGCCACAGUCCCUUUUAUAACAUCAGUUAUCCCAGAGCCCUCAUGACCUAAUACCAAUACAUCCCAAAUGCCCAGUCUGCAAACACCAUUACUUUAGAGGUUAGGAUUUCAGCAUGUGAAUUUUGAGGGAAUACAAACCUCCAGUUUAGAGCAGAUUUCCAUUUAUAUAGAACUCUGCCCAGCACUUCAUGGCAAAUAGAUGGGGAAACAAUGGAAACAGUGACAGACUUUAGUUUUCUUGGGCUCCAAGUGGACAGUGACUGCAGCCAUGAAAUUAAAAGACACCUGCUCCUUGGAAGAAAAGCAGUGACCAACAUAUUAAAGAGCAGAGACAUUACUUUGCCGAGAAAGGUCCAGACGUCUAGUCAAAGCUAUGGUUUUUCCAGUAGUCAUGCAUGGAUGUGAGAGCUGAACCAUAAAGAAGGCCGAGCGCUGAAGAAUUGAUGCCUUCAAACUGUGGUGCUGGAGAAGACUCUUGAGAGUGCCUUGGACUGCAAGGAGAUCAAACCAGUCAGUCCUACAGGAAAUCAGCCCUCAAUAUUCAUUGGGAAGACUGAUGCUGAAGCUCCAAUCCUUUGGCCACCUGAUGGGAAGGGCUGACUCAUUAGAAAAGGCCCUGGUGCUGGGAAAGAUUGAAGGCAGAAG
ensembl:lncRNA